UCCGCUGCUCCCCGCUCUCCCCUCCCGACCUCCCCGCUCCCCGCAGCCGGCUUCCUCCCCGCUGCGCCCGCGCCCGCGCCCACGCUCGAGCUCAGCUCCCCUGCUUCCCGCGCUCGCGCUCGCCCUUCCCGCGCUGCACCGCCGCUACCACCCCCUCCCAUCCCGUGCUCGCGCGCCAAAUCGCGCCACCGCCGCGGCGCUGCCGCCACCCCGUCCCCUUCCCUGCAGCGCGCCAAAACGGCGCCCCCACUUUGCAGCGCGCCAAAUCGGCGCCUUCCCCCUUGCAGCCCGCCAAAUCGACGCUGCCCCCGUCGAUCUCCUUUGCAGCUCGUCCCUCUGCCCCCAAAUCCUGUCUGAUUCGCUUCCCCCACCACCAUCUGCUCCAUGCUGGCUUGGAUUUGGAGGAACCAGUGGCUCGAGUUCUUCCGCACAUGGAAACCAAGCUUCAAAUCCAUGAGCAAGGAUGCUCCUCUUAUUAGUUUGUCGAGUGAAUCAGUUCAGAUGAUGGGCUUCCUGGCUUGCUGUUGUCUCACUGGAGGAAGGACCUUGUGAAGGUUGGCUGGACAGAGAGAUGGAUAGCGCUGGUGGCUGCCUGUGUGAAGGGUUGGCAUGUGAUUUGGAGAGAGUUUUAUUUUUUUUGUUAUUUUUCAUUUAAAUGUGAAAAUGAUCCAAGGUCCUUAGCAUGUGAUAUAUUAUAUGCAAUCAUUUUAAUAUAUAUUAAUAUUGUAUGAAUAUUGAAGUUAAAUGAAAUUAUAUCCUAGUAUGUUGUUUUAUAAAUGGUUACAUAGUUCA